CCUACGGGUGGCAGCAGUGGGGGAUAUUGCACAAUGGGGGGAACCCUGAUGCAGCGACGCCGCGUGGGUGAAGGAGUGCUUCGGCAUGUAAAGCCCUAUCGGCAGGGAAGAGGCAAGACGGUACCUGACUAAGAAGCCCCGGCUAACUACGUGCCAGCAGCCGCGGUAAUACGUAGGGGGCGAGCGUUAUCCGGAUUCACCGGGUUGAAAGGGGUCGUAGACGGCCAUGCAAGCCAGGGGUGAAAGCCCGGGGGCCAACCCCGGGACUGCCCGUGGAACUGCAUGGCUGGAGUGCGGGAGGGGCAGGCGGAAUGCCUGGUGGAGCGGUGAAAUGCGUAGAGAGCAGGAGGAACACCGGCGGCGAAGGCGGCCUGCUGGACUGCGACUGACGUUGAGGCUCGAAAGCGUGGGGAGCGAACAGGAUUAGAUACCCCAGUAGUC
rnacentral:rRNA from 1 species